rnacentral:rRNA from 1 species
AGAGUUUGAUCAUGGCUCAGAUUGAACGCUGGCGGCAUGCCUUACACAUGCAAGUCGAACGGUAACAGGUCUUCGGAUGCUGACGAGUGGCGAACGGGUGAGUAAUACAUCGGAACGUGCCUAGUAGUGGGGGAUAACUACUCGAAAGAGUGGCUAAUACCGCAUGAGAUCUACGGAUGAAAGCAGGGGAUCGCAAGACCUUGUGCUACUAGAGCGGCCGAUGGCAGAUUAGGUAGUUGGUGGGAUAAAAGCUUACCAAGCCGACGAUCUGUAGCUGGUCUGAGAGGACGAUCAGCCACACUGGGACUGAGACACGGCCCAGACUCCUACGGGAGGCAGC